rnacentral:rRNA from 1 species
AAAUUGAAGAGUUUGAUCAUGGCUCAGAUUGAACGCUGGCGGCAGGCCUAACACAUGCAAGUCGAACGGUAACAGGAAGCAGCUUGCUGCUUUGCUGACGAGUGGCGGACGGGUGAGUAAUGUCUGGGAAACUGCCUGAUGGAGGGGGAUAACUACUGGAAACGGUGGCUAAUACCGCAUAACGUCGCAAGACCAAAGAGGGGGACCUUCAGGCCUCUUGCCAUCAGAUGUGCCCAGAUGGGAUUAGCUUGUUGGUGAGGUAACGGCUCACCAAGGCGACGAUCCCUAGCUGGUCUGAGAGGAUGACCAGCCACACUGGAACUGAGACACGGUCCAGACUCCUACGGGAGGCAGCAGUGGGGAAUAUUGCACAAUGGGCGCAAGCCUGAUGCAGCCAUGCCGCGUGUAUGAAGAAGGCCUUCGGGUUGUAAAGUACUUUCAGCGGGGAGGAAGGUGUUGUGGUUAAUAACCGCAGCAAUUGACGUUACCCGCAGAAGAAGCACCGGCUAACUCCGUGCCAGCAG